rnacentral:rRNA from 1 species
GAUGAACGCUGGCGGCGUGCCUAAUACAUGCAAGUCGAGCGAACGGACGAGAAGCUUGCUUCUCUGAUGUUAGCGGCGGACGGGUGAGUAACACGUGGAUAACCUACCUAUAAGACUGGGAUAACUUCGGGAAACCGGAGCUAAUACCGGAUAAUAUUUUGAACCGCAUGGUUCAAAAGUGAAAGACGGUCUUGCUGUCACUUAUAGAUGGAUCCGCGCUGCAUUAGCUAGUUGGUAAGGUAACGGCUUACCAAGGCAACGAUGCAUAGCCGACCUGAGAGGGUGAUCGGCCACACUGGAACUGAGACACGGUCCAGACUCCUACGGGAGGCAGCAGUAGGGAAUCUUCCGCAAAGGGCGAAAGCCUGACGGAGCAACGCCGCGUGAGUGAUGAAGGUCUUCGGAUCGUAAAACUCUGCUAUUAGGGAAGAACAUAUGUGUAAGUAACUGUGUACAUCUUGACGGUACCUAAUCAGAAAGCCACGGCUAACUACGUG